AUUGAACGCUGGCGGCAGGCCUAACACAUGCAAGUCGAACGAGUGGCGGACGGGUGAGUAAUGCCUGGGCAACUGCCCGAUGGAGGGGGACAACUACUGGAAACGGUAGCUAAUACCGCACACCAUAGGAUGUGCCCAGAUGGGAUUAGCUAGUGGGGGGGGUAACGGCUCACCAAGGCGACGAUCCCUAGCUGGUCUGAGAGGAUGACCAGCCACACUGGAACUGAGACACGGUCCAGACUCCUACGGGAGGCAGCAGUGGGGAAUAUUGCACAAGGGGCGAAAGCCUGAUACAGCCAUGCCGCGUGUGUGAAGAAGGCCUUCGGGUUGUAAAGUACUUUCAGCGGGGAGGCGUUACUCGCAGAAGAAGCACCGGCUAACUACGUGCCAGCAGCCGCGGUAAUAC
rnacentral:rRNA from 1 species